AGAAAAUUGGUGGAUUUCAAGUAAUCAAGCAAUUAAAGGAGAUGUGCGAAAACUGAUAUUAAAGCCUUGCAAGGUUCCAGUUGGAAUUCCGGGCAAUGAAUGUCCAUCGCGACGUCGCUGCGGUUCUAACGGGCUCGAAGGGAGUACCGGGUCAUGACAACUCUAUUCAAGUAGAUCAGUGAUAGUUGUCCAGCCACCAGUGUUACAAAAACAUGCUCUGUUCUUCUUUCGGUAGGUGAUGGAGCAACCCUUUUGAAACCUAAGAAGUCGAGUUAUGUUUCGCUUGACGAGUCGAUCUCUACUUUUAUUGUUUAUAAUACUUGUUACUAUUGACUGUUAAGCCAUUCAAUGGCAUUAUAUUUAUAUGGAGAAAUGUAAAUCUUAUAGAGGGAUGGCUUGAGAGCCCAUAUGAGCACCUAGGGUGCAUUACAUAAUUGAUAUGAAAUGUAUAUGUUACAGAUGUUGUUAAAGAAA